UAGGGAAUCUUCGGCAAUGGGGGCAACCCUGACCGAGCAACGCCGCGUGAGUGAAGAAGGUUUUCGGAUCGUAAAGCUCUGUUGUAAGAGAAGAACGUGUGUGAGAGUGGAAAGUUCACACAGUGACGGUAACUUACCAGAAAGGGACGGCUAACUUCGUGCCAGCAGCCGCGGUAAUACGUAGGUCCCGAGCGUUGUCCGGAUUUAUUGGGCGUAAAGCGAGCGCAGGCGGUUUAAUAAGUCUGAAGUUAAAGGCAGUGGCUUAACCAUUGUUCGCUUUGGAAACUGUUAAACUUGAGUGCAGAAGGGGAGAGUGGAAUUCCAUGUGUAGCGGUGAAAUGCGUAGAUAUAUGGAGGAACACCGGUGGCGAAAGCGGCUCUCUGGUCUGUAACUGACGCUGAGGCUCGAAAGCGUGGGGAGCAAACAGG
rnacentral:rRNA from 1 species